rnacentral:lncRNA from 1 species
UGAAGACCCAGGGAACAGCAGAAGUCCACCUAGGUCCGUGCAGGUUACAAAUGGCAACCAGAACAGGGACUCCAAGCACGCCCAACUAGCAGCAUCCAAACAUGGGACUUCAAGGACGUGAAUGAAGAAGGUCUGCUGGAGCAGAGGAACUGAAAUUGACAAGGCGAAAGGGGACCCUGGGAAGAGUCUGCCGGCAGCAGAUAUAAGUCUGUAAAAUCGGAUGGACCACCAAUUGGAGAAUGAGAGCCUCCCAGCCCAGCCUUACAUUCUUUCAAUUAAUACAUAAACAGAAAGGGGGAUAUGCAGGGAGCCAAAGGCCUGUGGGACGUGACCAACUCAGCAUUCUGCUGGAGGCUAUAUGAUCAAACAGCAAACUGUUUAUCAUGAAUACAGGAUGUGAGCAAACUCAGGACUGCUCCUGCCAACAUAAGGUUUGCUGGAGGCAAUCACUCCCUGGCACCGAGGUUAUCUACUGCGACAUCUAGAGAAUGCAGUCUUGCAAGCCUACUCUGAACUGAGCAGCCGACCCCUUCUUCCACCCCCCCACCCUCCUAUCUCUUUUGCCUAAUAAAUACGGAGGGCUGUGUAAAGCUCAGGGCCCUUGUCCACUAGAGGUAAGGUGCUCCCUGAC